rnacentral:rRNA from 1 species
CCUGACGCAGCGACGCCGCGUGAGUKAUGAAGGCUUUCGGGUCGUAAAGCUCUGUCAAGUGGGAAGAAACCACGAGGUGAUAAUAUCGCUUUGUGCUGACGGUACCACUGAAGGAAGCACCGGCUAACUCCGUGCCAGCAGCCGCGGUAAUACGGGGGGUGCAAGCGUUAUUCGGAAUCAUUGGGCGUAAAGGGCGCGUAGGCGGUUUGUUAAGUCAGAUGUGAAAGCCCGGGGCUCAACCCCGGAAGUGCAUUUGAUACUGGCGGACUUGAGUAUGGGAGAGGGAAGUGGAAUUCCUGGUGUAGAGGUGAAAUUCGUAGAUAUCAGGAGGAACACCGGUGGCGAAGGCGACUUCCUGGACCAAUACUGACGCUGAGGCGCGAAGGCGUGGGUAGCAAACAGGAUUAGAUACCCUGGUAGUCCACGCAGUAAACGGUGAUCACUAGGUGUAGCGGGUAUUGACCCUGCUGUGCCGCAGUUAACGCAUUAAGUGAUCCGCCUGGGGAGUACGGCCGCAAGGUUAAAACUCMAAGGAAUUGACGG